rnacentral:rRNA from 1 species
UACGUAGGUGGCGAGCGUUGUCCGGAUUUACUGGGCGUAAAGGGAGCGUAGGCGGACUUUUAAGUGAGAUGUGAAAUACCCGGGCUCAACUUGGGUGCUGCAUUUCAAACUGAAAGUCUAGAGUGCAGGAGAGGAGAAUGGAAUUCCUAGUGUAGCGGUGAAAUGCGUAGAGAUUAGGAAGAACACCAGUGGCGAAGGCGAUUCUCUGGACUGUAACUGACGCUGAGGCUCGAAAGCGUGGGGAGCAAACAGG